GUGUGAUCAUUUCAGCACUUAUGCAUCGGAUCCCAUCGAAACUCCGAAGUUACGGGUGCUUGGCCGAGAAUGGUACUAAGACGAGCUUUGCCGCAGGACUUCCACAGAAACAGGCA
rnacentral:rRNA from 1 species